rnacentral:rRNA from 1 species
AUUGAACGCUGGCGGCAGGCCUAACACAUGCAAGUCGAGCGGAUGAAGGGAGCUUUCUCCUGGAUUCAGCGGCGGACGGGUGAGUAAUGCCUAGGAAUCUGCCUGGUAGUGGGGGAUAACGUCCGGAAACGGGCGCUAAUACCGCAUACGUCCUGAGGGAGAAAGUGGGGGAUCUUCGGACCUCACGCUAUCAGAUGAGCCUAGGUCGGAUUAGCUAGUUGGUGGGGUAAAGGCCUACCAAGGCGACGAUCCGUAACUGGUCUGAGAGGAUGAUCAGUCACACUGGAACUGGAACACGGUCCAAGCCCCUACGGGAGGCAGCAGUGGGGAAUAUUGGACAAAGGGCGAAAGCCUGAUCCAGCCAUGCCGCGUGUGUGAAGAAGGGCUUCGGAUUGUAAAGCACUUUAAGUUGGGAGGAAGGGCAGUAAGUUAAUACCUUGCUGUUUUGACGUUACCAACAGAAUAAGCACCGGCUAACUUAGUG